GUCCAAGCCGUGUAACUCACUGUUUUGGGAAUUUGAGUCAUACUGCCGUGUGCUAGGCCGUGUGACAGGUUGUAUGUGUUAAUGAGCUAGGCUACAUGGAUAUGUGCUAGGCCAUGUAGACCACAUGGGCCAGCCAUCUUGGUCGUGUGAAUCUACACGAGUGUGUGUGUAAAAAAUUAAAAAUUUUCCCUAGGGCCGUAAUUGUCAUUCGAAUCGAACAUAGGCCUUCCGUAGGGUUAGUAAGCUCUGAAUUAGGCUAUAAAACUUAUUAUCUGAUGAUUUUUUAGUGGAAAUUUAUUUAUAUGAACAUAUAUCUACUGGGUUAAUUGAUGAGCAAGCAUGUUUUAUAUUGUCUGGAUCUGUACCACUGUAUACGCAUGUUUGAUAUCUAUUAAUCAUGCAUCCGCAUUGGGAUAAGAUAUGUGAUAAAGAAGGAAGUGUGGACAAUUUAAUUAUCUGUUGAUUCUGGUGGUUAAGCCACAUAUACAUUUCUGAUUCUAGCAAGUUAUUACAUUCGAUCUGGCAGCUAGUCUGUAAUGUUCUGAAUGUAACUUACAGUCACUAUCAGGUGUGUAGGGAUGGAUGGGUAUUUGAUGCCCUAUUUAGUGUGCAAGGGUGGUUAAAGAUGGUGUGUAAUGGAUAAGGUAGGACUCUACAUUUGUAUCUGAAUUUGUAAUUGUAUCUGAUAUGUUUUGUAUCUAAAUCUGUAAGUGUAUCUGGUAUGUUCUGUAUCCAUUUCUAAUUAUGAUAUUCGACUAAAUAAUAUCUCAAAGUAAGAUCGAGACUGUUUGUACUUAAUUAGUUUAUAAGUUCUACAUUUAAUAUAUAAACUCACUUCAACUAUUGUUUAAAUUUCAGGUAAUCCUCAGAGUUGAUCGUCGGUGUGUCGGAAGCUUGGUCAUAUUGUUUAAUUAACUUGUUAUGUUAUUUGGUUUUACGUUGUUACUAUCUUAUUGGGUUUGUAGAUUUUAAAUGCUGGAUUUUGUAUUUUGAUUAUAAACUUGUAAAUGUCUUAAGUUGAUUGAAGUCUAAUUAUUAAAGGUUGGAUUUUUUUUGAAAGAGUUGAUGUAGCUCUCCAUACUUGGUCAUAUCGUCUAAGUCAAUUUUGAGGUGUUACAUUUAGUAGUAUCAGAGCUAGGUUUACCAAAAAUCGGGCUGUGUUUUCUGGGCACCCGUUUUUAUGAAAACUAUGGUUUUGAAUAAAAUGUUUAUCUGAUUAAAUCUGAAAACUUAUUUUAUAAAAGACUGACUUUCUAGCGCCGAACCUGUAAGUACUUCUGCUUUAGCUAUAAUAAUUAGCUAAAAAAUAUUGUAGUAACUGGAAUUGUUGGCUUUGGUUAAAGAUUGUGAUAUAAACUGUGAAAUAAGAUAUUUGAUAAGAAUUUUGAACUGAUCUGUACACUUCUUACAUUGUAGAUAAGUUGAUAUAAUGAGUUUGCAAGGUAGCCGUAGAUAUGGUUCUCGUGGGCGUUGAGGACAAGCUCAAGUAGAGUCAUCCUCUAUGGUCAGUAUGCCCAAUCUAGAGAUCGAUGAGACUUUUGGUACUCCUACUACUGAGACUGGGUUUCAAACUUCGACAGCUAGGGAUGACGUAUUGUUCUAGACUAUGCUUCGUAUAUUAGAGAGGGUCGCUGGGAUCCAUUCUGGAUCUAAGAGCCGAGGGUCGGUCACUGAACGACUUCGAUCAAACGGUGUUAAGUUGUUUAGGGGUGUCACUAGAGUCGUCCUACAGUGGCCGAGUACUGGUUAGAGACCAUCGAGCGUAUUAUGAAUGGCAUUAACUGCACUCCUGUAUAGAAACCAAGGCAUGCCAUAUCUCUACUCCAAGAUAAGGCUUACCAGUGGUGGUUGACUGUUGAGUAGGGCGCCUAGUUCGAAAAAAUUACUUGGGAUUUCUUCAAGAAUGCCCUUCAGAGUAAGUAUAUGGGGACGAGUUAUAUGGAGACUCGUAGACGUGAGUUUAUAAGCUUAGUUUAGGGUGAGAGGUUUGUGGCCGAGUACGAGGCUAAGUUUCUGAGAUUGAGUAGGUACGCUUGCGGUUUGGUUCUGAACGACUAUGAGAGGAGUAUUUGGUUUGAAGAGGGACUAAUAUAUAAUUUGAGAGUUCUGAUAGCUCUUCAGAGGGAGCGGGUUUUUGCAGCCUUGGUUUACAAUGUGAAGAUAGUUGAGGAGAUGAAGCGCAUGAGAAUGAGAGGAGAGACCAACAGAGAGGUCAGAGUAAGCUCAAGAGGGAUUCGGGUCCUUUUAGCUCUGUGCAAUGGCCUAAGAAAUGAGUUAGAUUUGAUGGGCCUUUGAGGACUAAGACAUCAGCUGCAACGGCUGAGAUUCAGACCUAUAGUGAUUGUGGGAAUUGCUAUCCGGGUGAGUGUUGGAGGAAAUUGGGGGCUUGUCUUCGGUGCGAGUCGAUGGAGCAUUAUGUUCAGGACUGUUCCUUACAAUCUAAUCAAGAGUAAGCUUUUGUAUAGGCUCCAACUCUAGGUGUCAUUUAGCCGCUGAGAGUAGCCCAGUAGCCACCUAGGGGUCAUGGUAUAGUUAGGGGUGAUAAUGGCUCUGAUCAAGGUUAGAGAGUACCGAGCAGAUGUGUAGGUCAGAUUGAGGUAUGAUAGCCUGCCCUUGAGUAUACGACGAGGCAUCGUGAGGACAGAAACGACGCCAACUUUAUAGCCGGUACAUUCUUUAUUCACUAUGUUCAGUAUUUUGCUCUGAUAGAUAUUGGAUCCACUCACUCAUAUGUAGCUAGUACUGUUUCUGGGUAUAUUUGCUGAUAGUACUACUAGAGAUACUUAUGUAAUUAGUCCCUUGGGUUAGAUGGUCAUAGUUAAUAAAGUGUAUAGACGAGUUUUGUUAGAGAUUCAAAGUGUUGUGUUUCUGGCUAACCUGAUGAAAUUGUUGUUUGGAGAGUUUGAUCUGAUUCUAGGAAUGGAUUGGCUGGUGGAACAUUGAGUCAAUUUAGAUUGUGCCUCAAAAAGGGUAACUCUGAGAUUGGAUGAGGAUACCAAGAUCGUUAUAGUAAGUAAGUGUUGAAAUUACCUCUCUAAUGUAAUCUCUGCCUUUAUAGCUGAAAAGCUAGUUGGGAAAGGUUGUAAAGCAUACUUGGCCCUUGUUCUAAUUCUGUAAAACUUUCUAUUAAAGGCAUUUGUACUGUAAGAUACUUUUCAGAUGUUUUCCCUGAAGAGUUGUCGAGGAUACCUCCGGUCAGGGAAGUUGAGUUUGAUAUUGAAUUGCUACCCGGUAUUCGUGUCUAUUGCUCCUUACCACAUGGCACUAAAGGAGCUUAUGGAACUAAAGGUCCAGCUUUAGGAACUUCUCGAUCGAGGGUUCAUUAAGCCGAGUGUGUCUCUGUGGGAGCAUCGGUUUUAUUUGUGAAGAAAAAUGGUAGCACGAUAAAGAUGUGUGUGGAUUAUCGUCAGCUGCAUAAAUUGACGGUAAAAAACAUGUAUCCAUUUUCGAAGAUUGACGACAUGUUUAAUAAAUUUUGAAGAGCAUCUGUAUUCUACAAAAUCGAUCUUUAUUCUAGAUACCAUCAGCUCAAGGUUAAGGAGACCGAUGUGUACAAGACUGCUUUUAGAACUCGUUGAUUGAACUCUAAUUAUUAAAGGUUGGAUUUUUUUUGAAAGAGUUGAUGCAGCUUUCCAUACUUGGUCAUAUCGUCCAGGAAGGGUUUUGGGUGUUACAGAAAAGGUUCAAUGUAUGUUGUCGAAUGUUUGUUUACUGAAGUCGCUUUGGACUAAAGUGGCCUCUACUACAUGAUUUUUGACUAACUAGUCUCCAUUUGUUGUCAUUAAGAAAAAGACUCCACAAGAGGUAUGGUUUGGUAACCCUGCUGAUUAUUCUGAUUUUAAAAUUUUUGAGUGUCCCACGUAUACUCAUAUUGAUAAUGGGAAAUUGGAACCUAGAUUCAUUAAAUGUUUUUUUCUCUUAAUUAUAAUACUGGUGUUAAAGGGUAUAAGUUAUGGUGUCCUGAAAAUAGAAAAGUUGUGAUUAGUAGAGAUGUUAUUUUUUAUGAAACUGCUAUGCUACCUAACUUAUCUCUUAAAGACUCUUCCAAUAAAGACCAUAAAAAGUAGGUGGAGCUUCAGAUUGAUUUAGGAUCUAAAACAGUGUCUACUCCUCAAGUUAGUAUAGAAACUCAAAGUAGAGUUGUUUCUUCACCAUAAUAUUUUAUUGUCAAGAAUAGGCCUAGAAGAGAAAUUAAACCUCCAAAGAGGUACGUCGAAAUUGAUCUAGUUGCUUAUGCUUUAAAUGUGGCUGAAGAUAUAGAUGCAAAUCAAGAGCUAUCUACUUAUUCCAAGGCAGUUGGUUGUGAAGAUUCAGAGAAGUAGAUGAUUGUCAAACAAGAAGAGAUGGAAUCACUCCAUAAGAACAGACCAUGGGAUCUAGUUAAGCUUCCUAAAGGUAAAAAAGUUGUUCAAUGUAAAUGGGUGUUCAAAAAGAAAGAAAGAACUCCAGGAGUUGAAAACCUCAAAUUUAAAGCAAGGUUGGUUGCAAAAGGUUACAGUUAGAUUCCAGGUGUAGACUUCACAGAUGUGUUUUCUUUAGUUGUGAAACAUAGUUCGAUUCAAGCCUUACUUGGUAUUGUGUCCAUGUAUGAUUUAGAGCUUAAGCAGUUAGAUAUAAAAACAUCGUUCUUGUAUGGAGAACUUGAGGAAUAUAUUUACAUGCAACAACGAAAGGGUUUUACAGUCUCAGACAAGGAGGACUAUGUUUGCUUGUUGAAAAAGUUCUUUUAUGGGUUGAAACAAUCACCAAUGUAGUAGUACAAAAGGUUUGAUUCUUUUAUGACUACUCAUGAUUUCAAAAGAAGCAACUUUGACAGUUGUGUUUAUUUAAAAAAAAACAGUGAUGGUUUUUUUGUUUAUCUACUCCUCUAUAUUGAUAACAUUAGGAUAGCAGUCAAAAAUAAAUGAGAGAUAAGAAAUGUCAAAGCCUAGCUUAGUAAAUAAUUUGAAAUGAAUGGUUUAGGAGUAGCGAAGAAGAUACUUGGGAUAGAGAUUCUCAGAGAUAGAAAAUCAUGUAAAUUGUACCUAAGUCAGAAAGGGUACAUUGAGAAAGUUCUUUGUGGAUUCAAUAUGCAAAAUGCCAAGCCUAUUAAUACUACAUUAGCAACCCACUUUAGACUUUCAUCAGCUUUGUCUCCGUAAUCAGAUGAUGAGAUUGACUUCAUGUUACAUAUUCUAUAUUCUAGUGCAGUGGGGUCUCUCAUGUAUACUAUGGUUUGCUCACGUCCAGAUUUGUCAUAUACAGUUAAUGCAGUUAGUAGAUACAUGGCAAAUCCCGAUAAAGAACAUUGGAAAACAAUUCAGUGGAUUUUCAUAUACUUACGAAGUAUUAAUGAUGUUUGCAUAUAGUUUGGAAGAACUAGAGAUGAAGUCAUUGAGUAUGUUGAUUCUGAUUUUGCUAGAGACCUUGAUAAAAGAAGAUCUCUCACAGGGUAUGUCUUUACUAUUGGGGGUUGCACAAUCAGUUGGAAAGUCACUUUACAAACUACAAUUGCUUUGUCUACUACUGAAGCUGAGUACAUGAUGAUUACUAAGACUUGUAAAGAAGUUAUUUGGUUAAAGGGACUCUUUGGUGAACUCAGUAAAGACCUUCAGAUCAGUAUAGUGUUUUGUGACAGUUAGAGUACCAUAUUCCUUACGGAGGAUCAAAUGUUUCCUGAGAGAAUCAAGCACAGUGAUGUUAGGUAUCAUUUUGUGCGUGAUAUUAUUGCUCGUGGUAAUAUUGUUGUGAGCAAAAUUAGUAGUCAUGAAAAUCCUGCAGAUAUGAUGACUAAGUCACUUUCUAUAACCAAGUUUAAGCAUUGCUUAGACUUGCUUGGUGUUCGUUGUUGAAGAACACCCCUUAAGGUGUUUCGUGGAAGAGGUGGAGAACUUGUUCGUUGAGAAUUCGUGUAAAUGUGGAGAUUGUUAGAGUUGAGUGACUCGAAUCCUUGUUAAAAUAAAAUAUAAUGGUAAAAUAAAAUAAAAGUAAAGUUCAUAUAGAAUUAUACUUCUUUUAUUUUACAUUGAUUAGAAUAAGGUUUUUCAACUUUACUACACUUCAUCUAUUUGACAUUGAUUAGAAAAUGUUUUUUCAACCUAUAAAUAGAUGUAGUCUAAACUCUUCUUGUAUCAUUUGAAUUUGACAUUAGUGAAUUUUCUUCUCCUUUACCCGUGAUUUUUUCCCGAAAUGAUUUUCAUAUAAAAUUUGUGUUCUUAUUUUUUCUUUCUUUUUACUUUGCGAUCGUUUUAUAUUGUUAUUAUCGAUGUUAGUUUCUACAUAUACCAUAUGAGGUAAUAUUAAAUUGUAGUUAAAAAAUAAAAGUUAAACGUUAAGGUGAAUGAUGUGAUAUUUGUUAAAAAUAAAAGAGAUUUAUGAGUGAAUUAAAUUAAACAAAAAUAUAUAUUUACAUGUAAAAAAAAAGUUUUGAUAUUUUUGUUAUAAAAGUUUUUAAAAAUUUCAUAACCGAAUUUAUAAAGCUGUUACGUGCUUUUUAUUUAUUAGUUAUUAUAUUUUUAUUGUUUAAUACUAUUCGUGAAAUUUUUUAAUUUUACAGGCUGGUAAUAGAUAGAAUAAUAAACUUUAUAAAAUUUAAUCUUAAAAUAUAUAAAAUUAAAUUUAACCUAACACCUUCUUUUUACAAAAUUCAAGAACAUGUAAUACGUUAAGCUAAAACUGGUGGAUUUUGUCUCGAAACUCACACACAAAAUGGAAACACUGAUGGGCUAAUUAUUUUUCCAGGCUAAAGAUGGGCUAAUUUCAUUAAAUGAAAAUAAUGGGCCAAGCUCUAAUGUUAAUUCUUUUGCCCAUAGAUUCACCCUAUUGAACUAGCCAUACCAAGGAACCACAUGUAUUUGUCUUCUCCUGCAUAUAUGAUUAGGGAUGCUGGUCUACAUAAUCAUGACGGAUGUAUAUAACAACAAAAUUAAUGGUGUGGCACCUUGCAUUCAACUUAUCUAAAUAUGAGAUGUUAUAUUUAUUGUCGGAGCAAUUCAAAUUAUUAUCAUCUAUUUUCUUAAAGUUAAAUAAAUGAGCUUGACAUAAUUCAUAAAUAUUAUCUUGUACACAUGAAUGAGGUUAAACGAACCUACAUUGACUCACAAUCAUACGAGAUCGAGUAUGGAGUCAAGAUACGAAUCCUAAUUUAACUUUAUCAAAAUAGAGGGUUGUGUCUCGAGACAUGUUUUUCUUGUUUCAGACCUCUAGCUUUGAAGUAUGAUUUCUCGAGACAAUGUAGUUAAUGUCUCAAGACAAUGACCUUUAUGUUUUGAGACUUAUCUCUUCUGUUUUACACUCUUAAUUUUAAUGUUGUCUAUCUCGUGAUAAAGUACUAUAUAUGUUUUGAGAUUUGAUAAUAUGUGUCUCGAGACAUGUUUAUUAUAUAUUGAGACUACUGUCAUACAUGAAAUAAUGGAAAUUAUUAAGAAUAAAUAAAUAUAUGAAUGAAAUAAAGAGUGAAAUAAACAUUAGUGUUUAAAUUUUGAGUAACAUUGAUUUAAAAUUCCAUCUCAAACUCUAACCAUAUAUUCUUUUUAUUAUAAAAGAUUUGCAAUAGAUUGAGAAGAUUUAAUUAAGCUUACAAAUGAAAAAAAAAUAUUAAUAUUAUGAUUAUGAAAUUAAUACGAAAAAAAAAGUAAAAAAUAAGCAUGGUAAACUUUCUGCUGCUGGCAUCGUCACCGUAUUCAUUUGCAAUGAUAACCCUGAUAAAUAUUUUCCGACAUAAAUUAUAAAUAUUUGAGGUAUUAAAUUUAAUUUAAUCAUCGUAUUAAUAGGUUUAAUUAGAUGUUAUUUAAAUCAGAUUAAAAUUCAAUAUUUAAAGUAUUGUAUUCAAUGGUGAAGUUAGGAUUGGUAAGGGCAUUACUUUAAAAUGGAAUUUUUUUUAUUUAAUUCUCUUUAUAAUUUAUAAAAUUUUAAAUUAAUAAUGAUAAAAUUACACUUUGACCUUAAAAAUAAUAAAAAUUUAAUUUAAUCUCUUAAAAAUUAUAAAUAUAUACCAUUUAAUUUUUACCCAAAAAAAUUUCUCACCCUGACUGCAUCCCUAAUCAUAUAUGCAUAAGAACACAAGUACAUGUUCCUCGGUAAUGCUAGUUCAAUAGGGUAUUGUUGCAUUAGAUUUUGUGAAUCAAUGGUAGCCAGGCCCAUUAUUUUCUUUUAAUGAAAUUAGCUUGCGCCAUCUUUGGGCUUGAAAAAUCAUUAGCCCGUCAGAGUUUCCGGUUGUUUGUGUGUUUUGGAGACAAAAUCCAGCAGCUCUAGCUGAAUGUAUUACAUCUGUUCUUACCGAAUGACUUUCAGUUUGUCAUAAUGUAUCUUUAAUCAUAACAAUCAUAUGAAUCUUUGUUUUGCCUGUUCAUGGCAGUUUAUCUGGAUUUAGAAGUUCAGAUGGUAAUGGAAUUCCAGGGAUAUGUUUCCAUAUCAAGGAAUGUCAAAAACUCAAAAUUGAUGGGAAAAGAAAAGAGCUGCAAAACCCAGAUAAUUUGCAUGCAAUUCCAACUUGUGCAUCGAUGGACAUGCUUAUCCACAAAAGGCCAAGGCGAUGAGGCAUGAAAACUUCUAAAGUUGCUGCAUGUUUGAGAUUGUAAAUUUGUUGGUAAUCCCAUGAAGUCUUCAUGGAUUCUGAUUCUAGUACACCUCAUACUAACCAUGAGUCUAUUGGUUCUACCAAGUUUAAUUCUAUAACAGUGACUGUAACAAAGAAAACCGCAAUACUUGUUGAUGAGAGCAAUUAUUUGUUGGAAAAAUUCAGUUAAGAAAAUGGUUUGCAGUUAUAGCUGAAAUUUGAAAAGUUUAAAAAUUGAAUUGAUUUGUGAUCAAUACAACUUUUACUAAAAAGUAAAUGUGCUUUGUGCGAAUUCAUCCUCGUUUUCAACCAAACGACCUUCUCUACUAUCCUCAUUCUAUGAAUUACUUCAAGCGUGGGUUUGAGCAACACGAACUAAACAUAGAAUAAGGUAAUGAUAUUAUUACUUUUAGUAGGAAAAUGGAAAUCGGUAAAGAUUGUAAUUCUCAAAAAAUAGAAUUUAUUCUAAGUAAAUAAAUUACAACCAUUUUUUGGCAGAAUAAUAUUAUCUCUAUAACCAAAAAGUGUAUCUAUUGGGUCAACCGGUAUCAUCUAUUUAUCGGAAGAGAUAGAAGAAUAUUAGUUGAAUAAGGUUUAAACAAAUAAUAUUAUUUAAAUAAAAAACACACUCCAACUCCAACUGGAGCAGUAGUGGGUGGCACACCCUAAUAACAACUACUAGGGUUGCCACCCCUCUCAUGUACUGUGAGGGGAUUUGAGCUUCUCAUGUAUUGAGUCCAAUUAUGUGUGCUUCCUAGACUUUUGACCAAACAUUUUAUAAUUUAAUCUAACACAAUAUUCAUUUUAAAUUUCUCAAAAUAAAUGUUAAUUAAUUAAUUAAUAAAAUUAACUAAAUUAAUUUUCCAAUUAAAUAAUUUUCUUAACCUAAUUCUAAUUUCGUUAAAGUCAUAACAACUUUACCAUAAAAGAGACUAUUAAGAAAUCUAUUUAAUUUUCUUAUUCAAUGGAUUAAUGAUAACUAAUUAAUUUAAUUCUUCUUUCGAACUUCAAUAUUUAAUUAAAUAAAUAAUAAUUCAAAAAUUUUAAAUUAAUUCUCAAGUCAUUUCUAUACUUAGUGAAAAAACACUUUCAUUUGUGAAUGCGACUCAUUUCUCUAACUUCAUCAUUCCACUUCAUUUCUGUUUAUUUGGUUCUAUAUGCAAUUCAUUUCUAGUUUCAACGAGCUAGCAGAGGAACCAAUUGAACAUAUAUAAUUAAGGGUCAAAUAAUUCAUAACAAAGUUCCAUUUUUCGUCUAUUAAUUAUAAAUUUAUUUAGUCACGAAGUCAUUCCACUAUAGUAUCAUGACUGAGCUCUCCCUAAUUACACACCAUUACCAAAGCUACUUAAUAAGUGUCCGUCCAAUGACCUUGUUAUAAGUGUAUUACCCUCAUAGGGUUUCCUUAAUCUCUUUGGAAUAAAUUCGUUCUCUCAAUAUGAUCUUAUUUUAUUUCAUGGUAACCAUUACAUCUUCCUUUAUGAAAAAUCAAUUACUAUCAAACAGUAAUCAAGUCAUUUAUUACAAAGACAAAUGACUCGUGACCAAAUUUACUUUUCAUUUCAUUUAUCAUGUAAUUCCACUAAUGUAAAUGAUGCUACAUACUGUAGAAGUUCUAUACCCAACGCAUCAACUUUCGAUUCCUUAUCUAUUUGAAUUUAGGCUUUUACUUACAUCAAAGUAUAUGAGUCACACAUACAUAGUCCAUCAUACACUUAAGAUUAAGGUACGCCACACUAUGAACGUUACAAGUGAAUAAAUCCCUAAAUGAAUUUAGGAUCUAUUCAACUUGGGUCCUUGGUUAAGCUUUUUAACACCAUUUCAAUUUGUGUGUUCUGGUCCAAAUUGAAUUCAUUAUCUAUAGCCUCGACAAAGUAACUCAUAAACGUAAUCAUGUGGUAUUUGACCUGAGUACCGAGUUUUUGUUGGACAUUCAUCAAAGUAGUUAUAGUUGACAGUGAGCCAAGACAAUUUAGCCUCCAAACAUGUCCUCUAGUUUGACCAAUAUUGCUUUGGCAAAAUCACAACUCUCUAGUUGCUUAUAAAGAGUACUAGUCAUGCUUGCUAGCAUAUAGUAUUGAGUUAUCUUAUUAAAUUCUUUCUAGUGAUUUCUAACCUCAGCUUGGUUAGCCGGAGGACAUUUAUUAUCAAGAACUAGGGGUGUAAAUGAACAGAAUAUUCAAUGAACUGUUCGUGAACCGUUCAUAUAAUGUUUGUUUAUGUUCGUUUAUUAAGCUAAAUAAACGAGUAUGAAUACAAUUUUUAUGUUCGUUUAAUAAACGAAUGAACACGAACAGAGGUGUAUUCGGUUUGUUUAUGUUCACAAACAAACUAGUUUAUUGACUCGUUUAUUUAUUAAUGAUAUUUUCUUAUAAAAAUUUCAUUAGUAUAUAUUAAUAAAAUUAUCUUGGUUUGUAUUAUUUUUCAUUUAUAAUAUAAUUAUUAAUAUUUAUAUUUGACUAUUUUAUAUCUAAACAAUGUAUGUAUGUAUGUAUGUAUGUAUGUAUGUAUGUAUGUAUGUAUGUAUGUAUGUAUGUAUGUAUGUAUGUAUGUAUGUAUGUAUGUAUGUAUUUGUUUGUUUGUUUAUUAUUUAUUAACAUUGUUCGUGAACAUGUUUGUUUAAUGUUCGUGAACAUGUUCAAUUAAGUUAAAUGAACAUGUUCGUAAACAUUAAACAAAUGAACAUGAACAAAUGAACAUGAACACACAUAAUUUUAAAUAAACGAACAUGAACAAAAAUUUAAUAUUCUUAACGAACAUAAACUGAACAUGAAUAAACUUAAAAAUAAACAACCGAAUAUGAAUAGAAGUUUGUUCAUUCAAGCUUGGUUCAUUUAUAACCCUAUCAAGAACCGUCUUGAGUUUCUCACAGCUUAAGACAAUCAUGAGAUUCAUUUUCCAUUCAUUAUAGUUAUGUUCGUUCCAUUUGUUAAUAAUGUAAAAAUUCAAAAUUAUUUUAAUCUAUCAGAACCUACUCAGCUUGAUCCGAGCCUAAAUCUAAAAAAGUUUAAUCCCAAAAAAAUCUAAAUCCGAAGAAAGCCCAAUCCGAGCCCACCCAAGCCCUCCCAUUUGCCCCUACUUGAAAUCUAUUUAAGAUUGGAGGGACCCCAUGGCUUAACUUUUGUAGUCCAACCAACAUAAACGUUAUCAUGCUGGCUAACCAUGAGCAUUGGUAACCAUAGCCAAUGGUUACUACAGUGGCACAUACUCCGGAAACACACUUGCAAAUCUACAAAGACCUAGAAACUGUAUAAAUGAGCAAUCAUUCAACUUCUUUUUUAGAUUCCUUGGUACUCGAUUCUCGGAGACAGACGAUCACAUGUGAAAUAGAACAGCUGCUGUUUGGCUAGGAGGUCUCAGAAAAUUUACCAAUUAUAUAGCAUAAGAUCCUUAUCAAAGGGUAAAACGUACAAGGGACCAUUAUCCUACAUUGAUAAGUGGCUAGUUGCGUGAUCCAUCCAUGUGAUAAAUUCUCAAUUUAUGGACAUGAAUAUGUGACAAUCAUGUCCCCCUCAGUACCAAAAUCUCGAGAGCCCACCACAUGUCAGGCAUUGAGAGAAGGGUGAGUGGCAGGGGGACCAUACUCAAACAUUGGUCCUUUUUUAUGAUGCAUUGAAUAAUCCAAUCAAAUUAUUAAUGUCAAUUUUCAAUCCAAAGUGACUCUUGGCCAUGUAUCAAACCACAUGAUAAGAGCAAUAAAAGAUAACACGGUUACGAAAAUUCAUAUUAUCAUAUCUAUUUCCACAAAAGAGGUGCUUGGUUCAAGAGUGAGCUACAAACAUGAGCGCCAUCGGAAAAUAAAUGAGAAAAAAAGAAGCAUAAUAUACCAAAGCAUAAACCAUCAUACAACCGUUACAAUCUGUGACUACAGUAACCACAGCUUUUAUGAAUACGACAGAGAAAGGGAAAAUGGUCCUAAAGUUCUAAGAACCAAAGCUUUGUUCCACUUUUCUCUCCUCAACUUCUUCACUUGUAUUCCAAAAUCAUGUUGUUUUCAGGAGCCAAGCCAAUGCUGGCCCUUAGUAUGUUCUCCAGCAUUGCACGCUGCUUGGACAGUGCGUUCACCACCGGUGUGCCUGGUGGAACCUGUUUUUUGCCAAAACAAUGUCAGCUCUCAGUAAAUUUCUUCACAGAUUUCUGGUUCAAGUGAUUGUCAUGAUUCUAUUCACAUUCUUGAACUGAAAUUUGACAUAAAGUUCACAAACUUUAAUUCAAUACUGUGUCCCCUCUCACCAGUUGCUUCAUGUGAAAUAGAAUGAAGCAGCUUUACAUAAAAUCAUUGAUGGUCACAUGAAAUAUAUCACAAAGAGGCACCAUAAAGUGAAUUUGCGAUUCCUUGUUUCCCACUUAAACUAUAAACAGUUGAGUUACCAUUUAAUUCAAGACAAUAAUAUCAAUGUUUUAUUGGUGAAGGUGUCACCCCUCCCCACCCCCAUUUUAUUAUUAAUUAUUUGCGAUUCCUGGUUUCCCACUUAAACUAUAAACAGUUGAGUUACCAGUUAAUUCAAGACAAUAAUAUCAAUGUUUUAUUGGUGAAGGUGUCACCCCUUCCCACCCCUGUUUUAUUAUUAAUUAUUAUUAUAUUUUUAGUAGGCCAGAGUUACAGGAAAAGACGAAGGGAUGCUUUGGACUCACAAGAGGGGCUUUGGUGAGGUAACUGAGGAUUGUAGCCACAGGAUGGAAAGAGUGGAACUUGCC
rnacentral:lncRNA from 1 species